GUCCUUUUGGGGACAUCCAAUGAAAUUGGAAUGAUACAUAGAAGAUUAGCAUGAACCUUGUGCAAGGAUGACACACCUUGUAACAUCCAAAAUAAAGCUUAAU